rnacentral:rRNA from 1 species
UACGGAGGGGGCUAGCGUUGUUCGGAAUUACUGGGCGUAAAGCGCACGUAGGCGGCUUUGUAAGUUAGAGGUGAAAGCCCAGGGCUUAACCCUGGAAUUGCCUUUAAGACUGCAUCGCUAGAAUCGUGGAGAGGUGAGUGGAAUUCCGAGUGUAGAGGUGAAAUGCGCAGAUAUCAGGAAGAACACCCGUGGCGAAGGUGGCUCUCUGGGACGGUACUGACGCUGAGACGCGAAAGCGUGGGGAGCGAACAGG